rnacentral:lncRNA from 1 species
CUCAAACGACCUCAGAUCAACUCCAGAUCUGAGAGAAACUUGUACCAACUUCUUCUCAAGAGAUUCCAGGUCCUGGACCUGGUGUUUGGAUGCUUGCAAGAGGAGGGAGAGAAGAAAUGGCUGGCAGCUGCAAAGGGGGGAAGGGGCUAGCGCCUCCCUUCCUUUCUUUCCUUUUAUGGACUGGCGGCAAGAAACCCUAGGGUUUCUUGCUCGUGGUGCAUGGAAGAUUGCUGGAGAGAGAGGG